rnacentral:misc_RNA from 1 species
GAUGAAGAACGUAGCAAAAUGCGAUACUUGGUGUGAAUUGCAGAAUCCCGUGAAACAUCGAGUUUUUGAACGCAAGUUGCGCCCGAAGCCUUUUGGCCGAGGGCACGUCUGCCUGGGCGUCACGCAUCGCGUCGCCCCCCACAACUCUCCGUAAAGGGAACUUGUGUUUUGGGGGCGGAUAUUGGUCUCCCGUGCUCAUGGCGUGGUUGGCCGAAAUAGGAGUCCCUCCGGUGGACGCACGAACUAGUGGUGGUCGUAAAAACCCUCGUCUUUUGUUUCGUGCCGUUAGUCGCGAGGGAAACUCUUUAAAAACCCAAAUGUGUCGUCUCUUGACGGCGCUUCGACCGCGACCCCAGGUCAGGCGGGACUACCCGCUGAGUUUAAGCAUAUCAAUAAGCGGAGGA